GGAAAAUCAGCUGCUGAUUUCCAAGCAAACCACUAAUGAAGCUUUCGAUGCAAUAAGGUAAAACGACAAUAAAGCUUAUGUGUUUGUAACUCAAUGAUUUAAAAUUUUCAAUAAAGUUGACUGAAACGUGGUUUUAUUAAAGGGACUCUAUAGGCACCCCAGACAACUUUAUCUGAUUUAAGUGGCCUGGGUGCCACGUUCUUCUAGUUUUAACCCUGCAAAUGAAAACAUUAUACCUCUGCAAUGUUUAUGUUAAAGGGUUUAAAUGCCUCUAGUGGCUGUCACUCAGAUGAAAUAGCCAAGCAAAACUCAG